GCCGCGGUAAUUCCAGCUCCAAUAGCGUAUAUUAAUGUUGCUGCAGUUAAAAAGCUCGUAGUUGGAUUUCUGACUUGGCGCACCUGGCCCGCCACGGUUACGUGUGUGAGUGCCGGGAUGCGCCUGUCACUUUUCUAGUAAACUAUUGUGCUCUUCAUUGAGUGUGAUAGGUAGCUAGAUAAUUUACUUUGAAAAAAUUAGAGUGUUUAAAGCAGGCGUUUGCUAUGAAUACAUUAGCAUGGAAUAAUAACUUAGGACUUCGGUUCUAUUUUGUUGGUUUCUAGGACUGAAGUAAUGAUUGAUAGGGAUAGUUGGGGGUGCUAGUAUUCAGCGGCCAGAGGUGAAAUUCUCGGAUUCGCUGAAGACUAACUUAUGCGAAAGCAUUCACCAAGGAUGUCUUCUUUAAUCAAGAACGAAAGUUGGGGGAUCGAAGACGAUCAGAUACCGUCGUAGUCUCAACCGUAAACUAUGCCGACUAGGGAUGAGUGAACGUUGCAUAAUCGACUUCAUUCGCACCUUAUGAGAAGUCAAAGUCCUUGGGUUCCGGGGGGAGUAUGGUCGCAAGGCUGAAACUUAAAGGAAUUGACGGAAGGGCACCACCAGGAGUGGAGCCUGCGGCUUAAUUUGACACAACACGGGGAAACUUACCAGGUCCAGACUCAGUGAGGAUUGACAGAUUGAAGAUCUUUCUUGAUUUUGAGGGUGGUGGUGCAUGGCCGUUCUUAGUUGGUGGAGCGAUUUGUCUGGUUUAUUCCGUUAACGAACGAGACCACGACCUGCUAAAUAGUUCAAGUUAGGGUUCGCUCUAGCUGUUGUGACUUCUUAGAGGGACUAUCGGUGUGUAGCCGAUGGAAGUUCGUGGCAAUAACAGGUCUGUGAUGCCCUUCGAUGUUCUGGGCCGCACGCGCGCUACACUGAUGCAUUCAUCGAGCUACAACCUUGUCUGAGAGGACUGGGUAAUCUUUGAAAAUGCAUCGUGCUGGGGAUAGAUUAUUGUAAUUAUUAAUCUUCAACGAGGAAUUCCCAGUAAACGCGUGUCAUCAACACGCAUUGAUUACGUCCCUGCCCUUUGUACACACCGCCCGUCGCUACUACCGAUUGAAUGAAUUAGUGAGCUCCAGAGAUCGAGCUGUUUCGGGCAACCGGGGCUGUUUGAGAACUGGAUCAAACUUGCUCAUUUAGAGGAAGUAAAAGUCGUAACAAGGUUUCCGUAGGUGAACCUGCGGAAG
rnacentral:rRNA from 1 species